GGGAGUGUGGCUCAAGCAGUAGAGUGCCUGCCUAGCAAACACAGGACCCUGAGUUCAAAUCCCAGUGCUGCCA
rnacentral:tRNA from 1 species